rnacentral:rRNA from 1 species
UACGUAGGAGGCAAGCGUUGUCCGGAAUUACUGGGCGUAAAGGGCGCGCAGGCGGCCUUAGAAGUCAGAUGUGAAAGCCCCGGGCUCAACCUGGGAAUGGCAUUUGAUACUCUGAGGCUGGAGUACGGGAGAGGAGAGUGGAAUUCCCAGUGUAGAGGUGAAAUUCGUAGAUAUUGGGAAGAACACCGGUGGCGAAGGCGGCUCUCUGGACCGUAACUGACGCUGAGGCGCGAAAGCGUGGGGAGCAAACAGG